CACGUGACUCUGGAGGCCCCCGGGCCCUCUGGUCCCUUCACCUGCCCUCCGUCAGUCAUGGGGCCUCCUCCGUGCGUGAGGAAACUGCAGGGCAGGGGAGCAGCGUCUGAGAGUGAGUGGAAGCUUCCCGGAGCACGGCCUGUGGCGCGUGUGGGCUUGGGAGUCAGAGCCCUGGGCCUCCCUUUGUUCCUCUCGAGCCUCGUGGGCCUCAGAGUGGCGUUGCGCGUGCCCCAGCUUUGCUGGGUGUCUGCACGCAGCUUCUGAGGAACGGAGGGCGCUGAUGGCGGUGCUCCCCUCCCGCCUCCAUGGAUCACACCAGUUUUAUUUUUCAGUCUGGCACAUCCCGCUGAUGAGCGCCAUUUCCUGAUGUCUGACACAGACUCCAGAGCAAGAUUUGGCUAGAAUCCUAAAAAAAAAAAAAAAAAAAAAAGAGAGAGAGGAGGAAAGAAAGAAAGAAAAAGAAAGAGGGAGAGAGAGAGAAAGAAAGAAAGAGAAAGAAAGGAAAGAAAGAAAGAGAGAGAAAAGAAAGAAGGAAGGAAGGACGGAAAGAAAGAAGGAAAGAGAGAAACAGUAGAUGCUGGAGGGUGGCCUGGGUUCUGGACCGUGACCCCUGGAUUUGUACAAAGACACGAGGGAUGCCAGCCGUCCUCCGGAGUCUGCAGAACUGUUUUUGAUAAUCGGCACUGGAGUCUCCUCUCAGCUCCUCCCUGGGCACAGCACAGUGAAAAAGAGCAUGAGCUUUGGACUCACCCGGGCCCGGAACAGAGCUGUGAUCAUGGAUAGUAAUCCCUCUGAGCCUCAGUUUCCUCAUCUAUGAAAUGGGAGCAGUGAUGGCAGCUUCACACAAGUGUGGGCGGAGGGGUUGAGAUGACUCAUACAGCCCGCUGACCACAGCAGAGCAUGGAGACCGGGCGCUAUGGAGUGACUGGAAAUGCAGGCAUAUGACAUUUCUUUCACUACGGACUCUUAACACCCCAUCCUGUGACGGACGUCUGGGCUGUCGGAUAGCUGUGCUGGGGCCCGGGAACUCUACCUCGUGGCUUCUGAGCAGGCAGGCUUGGUCCAGGAGGCGCGCUGCUGCUCUGCUGCUGAAGAGUGUGCGCUUGGAGGACAAACCAUCCUGAGGUGAAGCUGCCCUGAUGCCCGCAGGCUGCAGGCUCCUGUCCUACACAGAUUCCCUGCCCUGAGCUUCUGAAGACGGGACCGGCCUCAGCCCAUAAAACGCUGUCUGUUCUAUGAUCAAAGAGACCAAAACCUCCAGUUAUAAAGUGCCAACAGGAAUAGGGAAGGAGGAGAGGCAUCUGCAAUAGACUCUGAUGGUGUUUGCCCUGGGAUGGAGGAAGAGCGCGGAGAAUGGAGAGUGGAAGGAUGGAGACACACAGCAUAGUCCAAUCCUGCAGUUGCAUCUGGGAGGUUACAAUCUGCUCCUUGAACAAUUGCCAGCCGCGAUGGGACCAGAGAUGCCGAGAUGAUGGGAUGGACGGGAUGGGAUUCUGCAUUCUCAGACUUCCUCCUUCCUCCUCCCCAGGACCCCUGCUCUGAAAAAUCAUCCUUGGCAUCACGUACAGAGAGUGAGGCUGGACCACAUCUGGAGGACAAGAGGUCCCCUCCAUCCCAGCCAUCCCAGAUGGGUGAGCAAGGCCCUCCUAGAUCACCUGGCACUGCUGAGCCAGCCCCAAACAGAAGAACCGACCGGCCCAUUGCAGAAUCAUGAGGGGCAACAGCCCUCCACACCCAGAAACAGUGUGCCAGCGGCCCCUAGAGAAGCGCCUGUGGGUGAGGUCUGCAGUAUCAAGAUGUGUGGGGACACCGGACUCUGUCCUGCUGGUGAAGACAUCAAAGGCAGGAGUAGUUCUCUCCAUCCUAUCACUUGCUUGUGUGCACUUCCAGAAAAGCCGAGUUCACAGGUACUUUCAGACCAGAGACAGGUGGGAGUCGCGGGACGCGGCAGGAGGGCUCAGCGAAUCUGAGAAGAGCGCGGCGCACGUGCCACGGGGGCUGCUGGCGCCCGAACGUCCUCCACCGCUUCGUGCCGCCUCUGCUUCAACCCCGCUGCUCCCGGCUCACGGCAGGGAAACGUUAUGAUGAUUUUCACUUGUUUCUUGCUUGACACAUUCUUCUGGGUUCGUGUUUUCCUGCCUGUUUUUAAGAAGCCCAGACCCUGCCGUCUUUGUGCACUAAGAAGUAGCAGACCAGUCUCAGGGUGCGGGAGGAGCGUUUGGGGUAGCCGCCCCUCACGGGCCCUCUCCCGAGCAGCAGUGCUCCGUGUGUAGCGGCCUCCUCACCCUUUACACCGCAGAGGAGCGACGGAGGUUUGCUGGCUGGAAACCCUUCCGCCUUCAGCGCUUUGUCCUCUGGUGCGCAAAGGCAGUGUAAGCAAGCGCUGCCCUGUGACUUCUGGCUCUCCCGGUGAAAAGGAGACAGAGGAGCCGCGUUAUGGCGGAGCUCGCCCAGCGGGGCUUCAAUGAGCGCAGCAUCAUGGUCUCCCUUCCUCCCCUUCCCGGUUCCUGCUCCCGUCUGCAGCCCGCAGGGCUGGCUGGCCCUCACCCUCGUCACCCUCAGAAAACGCAUCUCCCUGCAGCGCGCAGGACGGCGAGGAGCGGAGGCUGGCCAGAGCGCGGCCGCCGGGCGCCCCGAAGCCAGGCUGCUCCACGGCUCCCUCCAGGAGCUGACGAGGGGCCGGUAAUGGCACCGAUGCGUCCCAGCAGGUCACCGGCGCCUGACAGACCUGCUUUUACACGUGGUCUCAAUCGACUCUCAAAAGGGUUGUAAGGUUUCCGCCCCUUUUUCUACGAGAGACGGCACAGGUGAGUUACCCAACCACAUGGCAUCCUCGGAGCCGACUAGGUGGCAGGGCGAGGACUCCACCAGCUCUUAUGCAGGCAGCAGCGGGAACAGGCUGCGGGGAGGGGGCCAGAAGGGGCUGAGGCAGGAGCCCAGUCCCAGGGGCAAGACCAGGCCGGGCGGUUCGCGCGCGUGUGGUCGAGCCCCCCCACCGCCCCGGUUCCCCUCAGCAGGCCUGCAGAUGAGAGACGCUCCGGGGGGCUCUUCUUUGACCCCCGCCGUGCAGAGGGAACCCACUGAGGUCCCUCACCCGCCGGGCCCUCGUGCCCACAGGCCCCCUCCGCCUGACCCCCCGGGGCUCCCGCCUCGGCUCUCACCC